AUAGCACAUAUAGAUGAUUAUGGUCCAUUCAUGAUGGAAAUGUGAUAACAUCUGAUUUAUGAAGACAUAUUCAUUCUUAGAAGAAUAUGAACGUGUUAGUGGUAGUGAAUAUACCACACUCGCCUCUAGAAGAAGGUUUGACGGUGCACAAUAUGCCUACUCGAUUCUUCGUUUUGUUUCUCAAUCUUCCGUUGAUCCCCUAAUGUGAUCCACGCUUAAUUCCUUGGACUUUUUCUCAAAUUUCAAAGCUCCAAAUCACUUGAAUUCAUUCCAUAACAUCUAUAUAGCUCGGAAUCACUCUUAACAUGCAUCAAACACACAAUCAGUGCAAAACACUAACAAUUAAAGUGCAAACUCAACUAAAGUGCAGUAAAUUAAAAGUGUAAUAAUCGACUAAAAUGUGUAAUUAUAGCAUAUCAUCACCAAUUAUAUUAUUUUGGAGAAACACAAUUAAUUACAAAUAAGGUAUUGUGUUGUAG
rnacentral:lncRNA from 1 species